rnacentral:rRNA from 1 species
GACGAACGCUGGCGGCGUGCCUAAUACAUGCAAGUUGGGCGCUGAAGGUUGGUACUUGUACCAACUGGAUGAGCAGCGAACGGGUGAGUAACGCGUGGGGAAUCUGCCUUUGAGCGGGGGACAACAUUUGGAAACGAAUGCUAAUACCGCAUAAAAACUUUAAACACAAGUUUUAAGUUUGAAAGAUGCAAUUGCAUCACUCAAGAUGAUCCCGCGUUGUAUUAGCUAGUUGGUGAGGUAAAGGCUCACCAAGGCGAUGAUACAUAGCCGACCUGAGAGGGUGAUCGGCCACAUUGGGACUGAGACACGGCCCAAACUCCUACGGGAGGCAGCAGUAGGGAAUCUUCGGCAAUGGACGAAAGUCUGACCGAGCAACGCCGCGUGAGUGAAGAAGGUUUUCGGAUCGUAAAACUCUGUUGGUAGAGAAGAACGUUGGUGAGAGUGGAAAGCUCAUCAAGUGACGGUAACUACCCAGAAAGGGACGGCUAACUACGUG